GUUAGCACAGCACCUUCGGGUAAAACCAACUCCCAUGGUGUGACGGGCGGUGUGUACAAGGCCCGGGAACGUAUUCACCGUGGCAUUCUGAUCCACGAUUACUAGCGAUUCCAACUUCAUGCACUCGAGUUGCAGAGUGCAAUCCGAACUGAGAUGGCUUUUGGAGAUUAGCUCGACCUCGCGGUCUCGCUGCCCACUGUCACCACCAUUGUAGCACGUGUGUAGCCCAGCCCGUAAGGGCCAUGAGGACUUGACGUCAUCCCCACCUUCCUCUCGGCUUAUCACCGGCAGUCCCCUUAGAGUGCCCAACUGAAUGAUGGCAACUAAGGGCGANGGUUGCGCUCGUUGCGGGACUUAACCCAACAUCUCACGACACGAGCUGACGACAGCCAUGCAGCACCUGUCACCGAUCCAGCCUAACUGAAGGAAACGAUCUCUCGUAUCCGCNAUCGGGAUGUCAAGGGCUGGGUAAGGUUCUGCCCGUUGCUUCCAAUUAAACCACAUUCUCC
rnacentral:rRNA from 1 species